UACGGAGGGUGCAAGCGUUAUCCGGAUUUACUGGGUUUAAAGGGUGUGUAGGCGGACUUUUAAGUCAGCGGUGAAAUCUCCGGGCUCAACCCGGAAACUGCCAUUGAUACUAUUGGUCUUGAAUGUUGUUGAGGUGGGCGGAACGGGUCAUGUAGCGGUGAAAUGCAUAGAUAUGACCCGGAACACCGGUUGCGAAGGCAGCCCACUAAGCAACGAUUGACGCUGAGGCACGAAAGCGUGGGGAUCAAACAGG
rnacentral:rRNA from 1 species